rnacentral:rRNA from 1 species
AGUGAACGCUGGCGGUAGGCCUAACACAUGCAAGUCGAACGGCAGCACAGUAAGAGCUUGCUCUUACGGGUGGCGAGUGGCGGACGGGUGAGGAAUACAUCGGAAUCUACUUUUUCGUGGGGGAUAACGUAGGGAAACUUACGCUAAUACCGCAUACGACCUACGGGUGAAAGCAGGGGAUCUUCGGACCUUGCGCGAUUGAAUGAGCCGAUGUCGGAUUAGCUAGUUGGCGGGGUAAAGGCCCACCAAGGCGACGAUCCGUAGCUGGUCUGAGAGGAUGAUCAGCCACACUGGAACUGAGACCCGGUCCAGACUCCUACGGGAGGCAGCAGUGGGGAAUAUUGGAAAAUGGGCGCAAGCCUGAUCCAGCCAUACCGCGUGGGUGAAGAAGGCCUUCGGGUUGUAAAGCCCUUUUGUUGGGAAAGAAAAGCAGCAGGUUAAUACCCCGCUGUUCUGACGGUACCCAAAGAAUAAGCACCGGCUAACUUCGU